rnacentral:rRNA from 1 species
ACGCUCGACACCUACGGGAGACAGCAGUGGGGAAUAUUGCACAAUGGGGGAAACCCUGAUGCAGCGACGCCGCGUGAAGGAAGAAGUAUCUCGGUAUGUAAACUUCUAUCAGCAGGGAAGAAAAUGACGGUACCUGACUAAGAAGCCCCGGCUAACUACGUGUCAGCAGCCGCGGUAAUCUGAGCGGGCUGGCAAGGC